ensembl:snRNA U6 U6 spliceosomal RNA
GUGAUUACUUUGGAAACACAUACAAUAAAAUUGAAAUGAUGCAGAGAAGAUUACCAUGUACUCUGUGCAAGAAUGACAUGUAGGUUUGUGGCACAUUUCAUAUUUUU